GCCUACUUGAAGAAAUUGGUAGACUUAAACGAUUUAAAAUUGUUUGCACUUUGUGCGUGAGGGUUCAAAUCCCUCAGUAGGUA